rnacentral:rRNA from 1 species
GACGUAGGGGGCCAGCGUUGUUCGGAAUUACUGGGUGUAAAGGGUUCGUAGGCGGUGUGGCAAGUCGGGAGUGAAAUCUCUGGGCUCAACUCAGAGACUGCUUCCGAAACUGCUGUGCUGGAGUGUGGGAGAGGCGCGUGGAAUUGCAGGUGUGGCGGUGAAAUGCGUAGAUAUCUGCAGGAACACCCGUGGCGAAAGCGGCGCGCUGGACCACUACUGACGCUGAGGAACGAAAGCUAGGGGAGCAAACAGG